GAGCUAUGAAGAUAACUGCGCCUUGGUGAUGGAAGGGUCCAUCACUAUUGUCUUAUUCAAAUAUGAUAACUGGUGCUGCUGAGCUC